CGCAGGCGCAGUCUGCAGUACCCGACUUCCGGGGAUUCAUGUAUAAAUAUGGCUGCCUCGGCGCUUCUCGUUCUUUCAAGAGUGUCGGAGUCGUGCUGUAGUCCGUUGCUGAAUUCAUUGGUGAUUACAAGUUAUGUUUUGGUUGAGAUCUUAUCAGUGAUUACAAGUUGUUGGUUAAGGAAAGAAGAGGAUCUGCACAGCUACCUACCUGCUGAAGGUUAACUUGGUGCUUGUAAUUAAUUAGAUACAAUUUGGCAAAGUUGCUGUAUUAGGGUUUAACACCGAACAUUGUCAUUGUUGAGCAUGCACUUUUCUCCCUAGCUAUUCUUGGUCUGGUAAAUGUAUAUCAAUGUCUAGGUUUGUGCUUUAGCAUAUAUGUGGUCCAUUUCCUGGUAGGAUGUACGCUGACUGCCCCAAGACCAUAUAGACCACAAGUGGUAUGGAAUGGGAUACAGAACUUCUAUAAAUAAAUGCCUGACAACUGAAUUAAAGGAAAA